UGGGCAAUAAGACUGGACACUUAAGCGUUUC
rnacentral:piRNA from 1 species